UCCCCGGGGCGCGGCUAAUGGCCGAGCGGGCUGGGAGGGGAGGGUCUUCAGUUGUCGCCAGCGUGAACUCGGGUACCCAGUGAGUGUCUGAGAGAACUCCUGCUUCAGACCCCGAAGUCUGCCCGGGCCCAGGUCGCGCUCGUCUUUGUCUUGUACCACUUUCCUUUCCUUUUUUGGUCCCUCCGCUGCCUCUUCCCGCUCAAAAAGCCGAUUUUCGCAGAUUCUCAGCUCUGAGGAGCAAAUUUUGCCGGAAAUUAAAUCCUUCCUUCAGUUAGGCAGUAGUCGAUUGAUGGGAGGGGCUAAAAGUCGCUUGGUGUCCUGAGAACAUGUUACUGUUUUGCUAAGACCGUCGUCUCUAGUGCUUUGCGGGAGAUAACUUCCUGGAAACCUAGAACUUUCGAAUUACUGCCGAGCUUGAAGAAUCUUAUUUUGGAAGAGACUUUUUGGUUUUUCUAGACAUUGGACUUUCAUGUACAGUUAAAUUUUCAAGAUAAUUUUGGAGACUAACAUGGAAUUUUUACUUUCAUUUUUGCCAAGUGACUAGUGGAAACCUUGACACAGAGAAGCAACAUUCUGAGAAAGAACAAAUGAAUAUUUGGUCUCAGUCAACCACCUUCCACCAAUAUCCAGUGCUUGGAUUCAGCACAUUCUGCCAAGUGGCAGGGAGCCGCUGAUGUCUCAUUUGGUAGAAUGUGAUUCUCUUAGGCAAUUGUUAACAACUGCUGAAAAUACUCUUUCUUAGAGGAGCUGUAUUGGUCAGCAUGCAAAGCAGAGAACAAAAUCCACUCUUCAGUAAUGUUAGCCAAAAGGGAUUUAUUACAUCGUCUAUUACAAAUGGUUGGCAGGGUUGAAGAAACAGCCUGUGGACUGAGCUUCAGGAGUGACUUACAAAUCCAGGCUAUAGAACUGAGCUGUCAAAGGACUGUUGCUCAGGCCAUGCUCGGGAGGCCACCUGCAGAAUAGGGAAGCCACCCCUACAGCCACUGGUUCCACAGCCACAAGUCCUUCACUACAGUACAGCCUGUCAAAAAGAUGCCUCAUAACCUGCGCCUCCCCCACUCAGGUCACUACACAAGUGCCUCUGGUGGAAUUUACAACACAUUAAUAACUAGCUGCAAGUGAAUUUGAGAAAUACAUUUUUAGCCUUCAGGAUACUAAAGCCCAGGAAGGCAUGUUAAGAGGAGGAUGGCAUUAAAUGAAAGACUGUUGGAGACUUUUUGAUGAACAUGUCAGUCUGAUAGCACUCACUAAUUAACAUUACCAUUGAGACCACUAAACACUAAGACCCUUCUGUUGGGUGUAAUGAGUAGAUGGCAGCACCUAUGAAGCAUUCUUGCCCAAAACAUCAAACCUGAAUCUGAGAAAGCCACCAGAUCCAACUAUCAAGUUUACAAGAAAUAGAGGGAUAGAGGCACACAUUAAUGCCACCACAGGGAUGCAACUAGCAAAAUCCAGUGUGGGAAAUUUUAUAGGACAAAUGACACAGUUCAACAAGCAAAUGGCACUGUUCAACAAACAAAUGGCAAAGGGAGAAAAAAGGGAGGGGAACCUAAAAUUAAGAAAUUUAAGAGAUGUAUCAAGUAAAUGCGGUGUGUGGGACUUCCCUGGUGGUGUAGCAGUUAAGAAUCUGCCUGCCAAUGCAGGAGACGGGUUCAGGCCCUGGUCUGGGAAGAUCCCACAUGCUGCAGAGCAAACUAAGCCUGUGCACCACAACUACUGAGCCUGCACUCUAGAGCCUGUGAGCCACAACUACUGAGCCUAUGUGGCACAACUGCUGAAGCCUGCAUGCCUAGAGCCUGUGCUCCACAACAAGAGAAGCCACCACAAUGAGAAGCCCACACACUGGAAUGAAGAGUAGCCCCCGCUUGCCACAACUAGGGAAAGCCCAUGUGCAGCAAAAAGGACCCAAUGCAGCCAAUAAUAAUAAUAAUAAAAUAAAAUGAAAUAAUUAAAAAAAAGUAAAUGCAGUGUGUGAAUCUUGUAUGGAUCUUGAUUCAAACAAAACAAUUGUCAAAAACAAUGUUUUGAGAAUCUCAAGGAAAUAUGAACAUGUAUAAUACUUGGAAAUUGAUCAUACUAAAGAAUCAUUGUUCAUUUUUUUAGAUGCAAAAAUAGUAUUGUGGUUAUGUCAACAAUGGUUUCAGUCACUUACACAAUAAUCUCUUUGCUUUUUCAAUUGGUUAUACAUUGUUUCUUUCAUAAUUUAUGGCUUUGUGUUUUAUACCAAAGAGAGUUUAUUCAGCUAAGCAUUUUAUGUAUGUUAAAUAAUUUAAUCCUUGUAACCACCCUUCGGUAAUAGGAAAUUAUACUGUUCAUUAAGGGAAACACCUAUUACAACCUUUUUGGAAGUGGAUGAAAACAAAUGUCUAUUUUAAAGCACACUUAGUAUGUUUAGGAAGGUACAAGGAGGCAGAGAGUCUUUCAGGGAAGGAACACCAUUGGCAUCUUAGCUAAUUAAUGGGUAAGGCAAAUUAUCAGAUAGCUCCUUUCAAGAAAACAGAUUUGUUAGAUUCCAUAAAGUAAACAUUAGAUUCAACGUUCAAAAUAUUUUCAAAUUGUUCCCUUGUCCCUGAAACUAUCAGAGGGCAUGAAACUACUGUCUCAUUUUAAGGAUGAGGAAAAACUGAAAACACACUCCCAGCAGGGUGAGACAAGGAUGAGAAGUACAUUGAGAGCCUUGAUAUUAUCAGACAUAGCCAAGGGGAUGACACCUGGCCCAUCACUGCCUCUAAAACUAGUCGACUGCAAUCUUGAAUUUGCAGUUUUCUGUAAAUGGGUUUACACCAUGUAUUCUGAAACUUUGUUCUUGGAGGCAAAAAGACCCUUAGAUACGAUAGUGGUUUGUGCCCCGUCAAAGCUCAACUCUACCCAACAAAAUCUUAUUCCUUAUGUCUCUCACUAGGGAGAAUUUAAAUUUAAAUUUUCUCCUGUAGCAGGAGGGCAAUAAUGAAAAAAAUGUUUCAGAAACACUGGCUUAAGGCCAAAGAUGUUUUAUUUAGAAUACAGUGAUUUUUAAAAAUAAAUUUAUUUAUUUAUUUAUUGGCUGCGUUGUGUCUUUGUUGCUGCACGUGGGCUUUCUCUAUUUGCAGCAAGUGGGGGCUACUCUUCUUCGUGGUGCACGGGCUUCUCAUUGCAGUGGCUUUCUCGUUGUGGAGCAUGGGCUUCUAGGCAUGCACGCCUCAGUAGCUGUGGCACAUGGGCUCAGUAGUUGUGGCUCUCAGGCUUAGUUACUCUGCAUCAUGUGGGAUCCUCCUGGACCAGGGCUCGAACCAGUUGCCUGCAUUGGCAGGCAGAUUCUUAACCACUGCGCCCCAGGGAAGUCCCUACGGUGAUUUUUUUUAAAGUAUAGUUGAUUUCCAAUGUUUCAGGUAUAUAGUAAUGUGAUUCAGUUAUAUAUAUAUAUAUAUAUAU